GCCUGGGUGGCUUAGUCAGUAAGCAUCUGACUUCAGCUCAGGUCAUGAUCUCGCGGUUCGUGAAUUCAAGCCCCACAUCAGGCU
rnacentral:tRNA from 1 species